rnacentral:lncRNA from 1 species
GCAAGAGUUGCCUAAUCCAUCUCUCCGCUGUAGCUCUGUCUGCAUGAAUAAUGAUAUUCUAUUUCGAAUAACAGACAAGCAGGAGAAUGAGAUAGUUGCCAGAGGUAAACCAGAAAAGUAUUGGGUGAUUUUACCUCAUAUAACAAAAGCAAGAGACAGACCAAAAUCAGGUAAGUACAAUCUUGCAAACAUACAUUGGUUGUCAUCAAUUUAUUAAAAAAAAAAAUCAAUACCUUGACUUUACUGAGGCAACAGAGACAUUAGUUUUAUGUAUAUGUGUAGUCCAUAGAUGUAAAUUAAAAGUUUAUAUCUUCAGCUUUAAUUUAUACCUGUACGACUUAAAUUCUUAUGUACACAAAAUACUCAUGAAAUGUUUGGGGUAAUCAAAUUUCUUGACAAGGAAUUCUCAAAAACUUUUGAAUUACAAGUAUUGGCAUCCAUUAAUUCAGAUACCUUUGAGGAAAAAACAGCCUAGUGAGUGUAAAACAAAUCAUAAACCUAACAAAAUAGUCUGCUGAAAUAACAGCAAAUUACUACUUUUUUUUUUUUUUUUUUUUUUUUUUUGAGUAGCUGCUUUUCUGGUACCUGCAUUUCCUUUCAUGUUAGAAAUUAGCAUUUUGGCUAAGGUCAGUAUCCAAAGAUGUUAGCAUCAUCACAGGCAGCAUCAAAUCCACUGAAGGAGUCUGUCACAGUUCCUCUCAAAGUGUAAGUCCAACUGCUUAAAAGUAAUACAUCUCUGAAAAUAUUAUUUAUUGUUAGAUUUACUAAAGAGGGGACCUAUAACAUACUAUGGGUUGCUAAGACUCACAAUGUUGCUUCUGCAACAGGUGAUUUAUAUUCCCAUGGAACUCAAAUGCACUUGGAGAUCAUAUGGAGAGCAUCUGAGAUCAGCUGGGAAUCAUUAGGUACCUUGCAAGAUUAGACCCAUGUGAGGUUGUCCCUAGAAUUAACUUUUUUGCUCAUCACUAACCAGUUCUACCUCCUCUUUUUUCUUAAUCACUUUAUUUGUUUCAAGGGGACUGAUAAGACCCUUAAGGAAGUCCCAUAAUGAUACUAAUUAAUUAAUAAUUGGUAGCAAUUUGGGUGUGUUGGAAGAGCUGACCUCGGAUAAUUC